rnacentral:snRNA from 1 species
GAUCAUUUCAGCAGCUCAUAUACUAAAAUUGGAACAAUACAGAGAAGAUGAGCAUGCUCCCUGUGCAAGGAGGACUACAAAUUUGUGAAGUGUUCCAUAUUUAA